rnacentral:rRNA from 1 species
CCUACGGGUGGCAGCAGUCGGGAAUAUUGCGCAAUGGAGGAAACUCUGACGCAGUGACGCCGCGUGCAGGAAGAAGGUUUUCGGAUUGUAAACUGCUUUAGACAGGGAAGAAAAAAGACAGUAUCUGUAGAAUAAGCUCCGGGUAACUACGUGCCAGCAGCCGCGGUAAUACGGAGGGAGCAAGCGUUAUACGGAUUUAUUGGGUGUAAAGGGUGAGUAGAGGGAGAAGCAAGUUAGUAGUGAAAUGCCUCGGCUUAACUGACGAACUGCAACUAAAAAUACUUCCCUUGAGUACUGGAGAGGAAAGUGGAAGUCCUAGUGUAGCGGUGAAAUGCGUAGAUAUUAGGAGGAACACCAGUGGCGAAGGCGACUUUCUGGACAGUAACUGACGUUGAGGCACGAAAGUGUGGGGAGCAAACAGGAUUAGAUACCCUUGUAGUC